rnacentral:rRNA from 1 species
GGGUCAAGACCUGACUAGCCAGCGACGGGUAUGGGGUGUGAGAGCACUUGCCCAGAGAUGGUUUCUGAGACACGAAACCAGGCCCUACGGGGCGCAGCAGGCGCGAAAACUUCGCAAUGCGGGAAACCGUGACGAGGGAACUCCAAGUGUCUAUGCAUUGCAUAGACUGUUUUUUAGCCUAAAUAGCUAUUAGAGUAAGGGGUGGGCAAGACCGGUGCCAGCCGCCGCGGUAACACCGGCACCUCGAGUGGUAGCCACUAUUAUUGGGCCUAAAGCGUUCGUAGCCGGUUUGGUAAAUUCUUGGGUAAAUCGUACCGCUUAACGGUGCGGAUUCCGGGGACACUACCAGACUUGAGACCGGGGGAGAUCAGAGGUACUUGUGGGGGAGCGGUGAAAUGUUGUAAUCCCACAGGGACCACCAGUGGCGAAGGCGUCUGAUCAGAACGGCUCUGACGGUGAGGAACGAAACCCUGGGGCGCAAACGGGAUUAGAUACCCCGGUAGUCCAGGGCGUAAACGCUGCUGACUUGGUGUUGGGGAUCCUACGAGGAUGUCCAGUGCUGGCGCGAAGGUAUUAAGUCAGCCGCCUGGGGAGUACGGUCGCAAGACUGAAACUUAAAGGAAUUGGCGGGGGAGCACUGCAACGUGUGGAGCGUGCGGUUUAAUUGGAUUCAACGCCGGAAAACUCACCGGGGGCGACGGUUACAUGAAGGCCAAGCUGAUGACUUUGCCUGAUUUUCCGAGAGGUGGUGCAUGGCCGCCGUCAGUUCGUACCGUAAGGCGUUCUGUUAAGUCAGAUAACGAACGAGACCUCCGUCACCAUUUGCUAUUCUUCGCUCCGGAGAGGGUGCACUAUGGUGGUAACGCCACUGUUAAAGUGGAGGAAGGAGGGGGCAACGGUAGGUCAGUAUGCCCCGAAUCUCCCGGGCUA